AAGGCUUGACCUCAAAUCAGGUAGGACUACCCGCUGAA
rnacentral:rRNA from 1 species